ACCUUGCACUUGUGAGGCAGGCAGUGGAACCACUGAGCUAAAUCCCCAGCCCUAAAUCCUACAUCUUAAAGUUUCCCAAUACAACCACAAGCUGAAGACCCAACAAAGAUCCACAUGGACAUCUGCAGGAAUUUUCAGAUCCAAACUCUAGCGGCAAGGCGGCAAGCUCUAAACAAACACCUUGUAUGUUUCUCAUUUGGUAUGGAAAUUCAAUGACAUUUCUUCUCAGUUCCCCUUUCAUUCCCUAAGGCAGCCUGAUCAGGGAUGCCUCACUGCAGGAAAAAAAGUCGUAAGGAAGACCUUUCUCUACAUUAGAUAUUUAUAACAUCAGCCUUCUGAAAGUUUUCCAGAAAUUUAAAAAAAAAUUCAGAGAUUGAAUGCACAUGGAGAAACCCAGUCCCCAUCCAAGACCACACCAGCUCCUCCUCACCCUCAUUCAAGACCACACCCAGCGGUUUACACAACACCUUUCUUCGAGGGAUCUCAGAGAGCUGCUCCGGCCCAAAGGAAUUAGACUAAGGGAAGAAUAUAUCUGAGUUUCCUUCUUGACUAGAAAAAGGAAAUAUUGAGUCCUCUAAAAUUUAAGGCCACAUAGGCAGGCUAUGUAUGUAGCCAGGAGCCAAAUUACAUUUAAUGUUGAAAGGUAUUCAUUUUAUAUUUUAGAAAAUCUAAAUCACUCUUGAUUAUUUUUAUGCUAACAGAAGAGUAUAAAGUAAGAGAUUUUGUUUUUGGGAAUGCAUCCCCCUGAAUCUCAUUUUUGUUUAAUUUAGCAGAAUUUAUCAUGCUGCUUCCCCAAAUAUCAAGUGCUCCCAAUCUGUUCUUUACCCAAGAGAGCAAAUGAAUCAAAUCACUCACAUUGAGAGGUUAUGAUGUGACUUCUCAUACC